GACGGAGGGGGCUAGCGUUGUUCGGAAUUACUGGGCGUAAAGAGUGCGUAGGCGGUUUAGUAAGUUGGAAGUGAAAGCCCGGGGCUUAACCUCGGAAUUGCUUUCAAAACUAUUAAUCUAGAGUGUAGUAGGGGAUGAUGGAAUUCCUAGUGUAGAGGUGAAAUUCUUAGAUAUUAGGAGGAACACCGGUGGCGAAGGCGGUCAUCUGGGCUACAACUGACGCUGAUGCACGAAAGAGUGGGGAGCAAACAGG
rnacentral:rRNA from 1 species